CUGAAAAACAGAGUUUUAUGGAAACAGACGUGAGGAACCAGCAGAGAAAAUGGGGAGUCGCUAAGCUAACGUUAUGGCCGACGUUACGUUUGCAGCAAGCAUUUUAUUACAAGUCAAAUAUCCAAAUUGUUAGUUGUAACCUAACUAUACGUCUGUAAGUUAAGCUAACACACGUAACGUCGGACAUAACGUUAGCUUAGCGCCUCCCCAUUCUCUCUGCUGGUUCCUCACGUCUGUUUCCACUUUUGUCUUC